rnacentral:snoRNA from 1 species
CCCAUGACUGCAUGAUGAAAAAUAUGUUGGUAGGGACAUCUGAGUAAAUGUGAAAGAAUGCCAACUUUUCUGACUGCAUGGG